GUGGGGAAUAUUGGACAAUGGGCGAAAGCCUGAUCCAGCCAUGCCGCGUGUGUGAAGAAGGUCUUCGGAUUGUAAAGCACUUUAAGUUGGGAGGAAGGGCAGUAAGUUAAUACCUUGCUGUUUUGACGUUACCGACAGAAUAAGCACCGGCUAACUUCGUGCCAGCAGCCGCGGUAAUACGAAGGGUGCAAGCGUUAAUCGGAAUUACUGGGCGUAAAGCGCGCGUAGGUGGUUUUGUAAGUUGGAGGUGAAAUCCCCGGGCUCAACCUGGGAACUGCCUCCAAAACUGCAUGACUAGAGUACGGUAGAGGGUAGUGGAAUUUCCUGUGUAGCGGUGAAAUGCGUAGAUAUAGGAAGGAACACCAGUGGCGAAGGCGACUACCUGGACUGAUACUGACACUGAAGUGCGAAAGCGUGGGGAGCAAACAGGAUUAGAAACCCUUGUAGUCC
rnacentral:rRNA from 1 species